GGCUGUGGCUCAAUGGUAGAGAGCUCAGUCUCACAUGUAUGAGGCCCUGGGUUCAAUCCUCAGCACCA
rnacentral:tRNA from 1 species